rnacentral:rRNA from 1 species
CAGCAGCCGCCGCGGUAAUACAGAGGGUGCGAGCGUUAAUCGGAUUUACUGGGCGUAAAGCGUGCGUAGGCGGCUAAUUGAGUCGGAUGUGAAAUCCCCGAGCUUAACUUGGGAAUUGCAUUCGAUACUGGUUAGCUAGAGUGUGGGAGAGGAUGGUAGAAUUCCAGGUGUAGCGGUGAAAUGCGUAGAGAUCUGGAGGAAUACCGAUGGCGAAGGCAGCCAUCUGGCCUAACACUGACGCUGAGGUACGAAAGCAUGGGGAGCAAACAGGAUUAGAUACCCCAGUAGUCCCUGUCUCUUAUAC